rnacentral:rRNA from 1 species
AUUGAACGCUGGCGGAAUGCUUUACACAUGCAAGUCGAACGGCAGCACGGGUGCUUGCACCUGGUGGCGAGUGGCGAACGGGUGAGUAACAUAUCGGAACGUAUCCAAUAAUGGGGGAUAACUAAUCGAAAGGUUGGCUAAUACCGCAUACGCCCUACGGGGGAAAGCUAGGGACCUUCGGGCCUGGCGUUAAUGGAGCGGCCGAUAUCUGAUUAGCUAGUUGGUGGGGUAAUGGCCUACCAAGGCGACGAUCAGUAGCUGGUCUGAGAGGACGACCAGCCACACUGGAACUGAGACACGGUCCAGACUCCUACGGGAGGCAGCAGUGGGGAAGUUUGGACAAUGGGCGCAAGCCUGAUCCAGCCAUUCCGCGUGAGUGAAGAAGGCCUUCGGGUUGUAAAGAUCUUUCGCAAGGGAAGAAAACUUAUCCUCUAACAUAGGAUGAGGUUGACGGUACCUUGAUAAGAAGCACCGGCUAACUACGUGCCAGCCGCCGCCGUAAGAC